rnacentral:lncRNA from 1 species
AAGAUCCCAACCUCCCCGUUACCAACUAUACAGGCCUUCCUGGCCAGUCAGCACUGAAGCACAGCAAUGCCUUCCGCAAUCCAGGUAAUGAAUCGCUUACGUGGUGGCCACCAAUUGGGAUUAAUUGGCACGGUCUGCAGUAGUCGGCCAGCAGGCCCACAGGAACCUGUGACACAAUUAUUAUGCUCUUUCUUGCUGGAUGCCGAUAAUGCUGUCAUCAAGUUUCAACUAUGAGGCGUCGCUGCCAGCUCCAGUUAACUUCAUCCAUCAUUUUUUUCCGGAAUGUGUACCUGUCGCUAGCGUUCUCAUGUUUUACAUCGAAGCCCAGAACUGUGUGCAGGAUCCGUGACACAAUCUCUCGAUUCGGUACGCGGGUGAGCGCCGACUCCAAAUGUGUAUGGGAGGUUGUAUGCCUCGCGGCCAUCAGCUCACUCAAUCUCGGUCGCCGUUUGUUGUUUAGGGAAGGCCUCCAGACCAACAUGCCUAUAUCAACGCCAUCGCUUAACCGCAUUACUUACGAGGUUAUCUCUGACUUUUGGGCCCGUUUAACUGCUUUUGCGGCACGGGACUACUUGCCAAAACAUUGGGAUCAUGUACCUCACAAUCACCCUUUCUUAUAUGUCAACGACGCAGACAUGGUUGUUUGCCGUAUACCGAUGUACAAUGACGAAGUUUGAGGGCGCACGUCUGAGCCUCUAUUUUCUGUUUAAGCGUACUAACUGAGGCCGUGUGUCCAGUGAAGUUAGUACGGCCUGGCCGAGUUCUUUUUGAAUAAGGCCCACAGUGUUGUGCGGGAGGCGCUCCUAUGGGCGUUGCACUCGACCCGUUCGGGGUCCACUGUAACAAUCGCAUCCUCCAAAUGAC